rnacentral:hammerhead_ribozyme from 1 species
GUACUGAUGAAGAGUUUCAGAGUAGGACGAAACAGCUGUUCAGUAC